CAACGGCUCAGAUGGAGCCCCAGGUGUCCCAGGUCAAAAGGGAGAACCAGGACUAAAUGGAAAGAGAGGAAAAAUGGGUGUGCCAGGACCAAAAGGUGACCAAGGGGAGAAAGGAGAACCUGGAGAAAUAGGUUUACCUGGCAAGGAUGGUAUGCCUGGUGUGAAAGGUGCAAGAGGAGCAAAGGGAGAAAAGGGGGAUGCAAACAACGAUGUGAUGUUGGAAGGUGCAAAAGGUGAACCUGGACCACCAGGCCCCCCUGGGCCUCCUGGACCUCCAGGGCCUCCAGGAAAACGUAAAGGUAAAACACAGC
rnacentral:lncRNA from 1 species